rnacentral:rRNA from 1 species
ACGCUGGCGGCAGGCCUAACACAUGCAAGUCGAGCGGAAACGACACUAACAAUCCUUCGGGUGCGUUAAUGGGCGUCGAGCGGCGGACGGGUGAGUAAUGCCUAGGAAAUUGCCUUGAUGUGGGGGAUAACCAUUGGAAACGAUGGCUAAUACCGCAUAAUGCCUACGGGCCAAAGAGGGGGAUCUUCGGACCUCUCGCGUCAAGAUAUGCCUAGGUGGGAUUAGCUAGUUGGUGAGGUAAUGGCUCACCAAGGCGACGAUCCCUAGCUGGUCUGAGAGGAUGAUCAGCCACACUGGAACUGAGACACGGUCCAGACUCCUACGGGAGGCAGCAGUGGGGAAUAUUGCACAAUGGGCGAAAGCCUGAUGCAGCCAUGCCGCGUGUAUGAAGAAGGCCUUCGGGUUGUAAAGUACUUUCAGUUGUGAGGAAGGGGGURRYGUUAAUAGCGYUAUCUCUUGACGUUAGCAACAGAAGAAGCACCGGCUAACUCCGUGCCAGCAGCCGCGGUAAUACGGAGGGUGCGAGCGUUAAUCGGAAUUACUGGGCGUAAAGCGCAUGCAGGUGGUUCAUUAAGUCAGAUGUGAAAGCCCGGGGCUCAACCUCGGAACUGCAUUUGAAACUGGUGAACUAGAGUGCUGUAGAGGGGGGUAGAAUUUCAGGUGUAGCGGUGAAAUGCGUAGAGAUCUGAAGGAAUACCAGUGGCGAAGGCGGCCCCCUGGACA